GAUGAACGCUGGCGGCAUGCCUAAUACAUGCAAGUCGAGCGGACGGACGAGAAGUUGUCGUCUCUGAUGUUAGCGGCGGACGGGUUAGUACCACGUGGAUAAGCUACCUAUAAGACUGGGAUAACUUCGGGAAACCGGAGCUGAUACCGGAUAAUAUUUUGAACCGCAUGGUUCAACAGUGAAAUACGUUCCUGCUGUCACUUAUAGACGGAUCCGCGCUGCAUUAGCUAGUUGGUAAGGUAACGGCUUACCAAGGCAACGAUGCAUAGCCGACCUGAGAGGGUGCACUGGCACGCCGGAACUGAGAACCGGUCAAGACUGCAACGGGAGGCAGCCGUGGCGCAUCCGCCACGAAGCACGAGAGAAUGAUGGGGCAACGACGCGUGAGUGAUGGAGGUCUUCGGAGCGUAAGAAGCAGUUUUUUGGGUAGAACACAUGUGUAAGUAACUAUGAACAUCUUGACGGUACCUAAGCAGACAGCCACGGCUAACUCCGUG
rnacentral:rRNA from 1 species